AUUGAACGCUGGCGGCAGGCCUAACACAUGCAAGUCGAGCGAGCGGCGGACGGGUGAGUAAUGUCUGGGAAACUGCCUGAUGGAGAGGGAUAACUACUGGAAACGGUAGCUAAUACCGCAUACCAUCAGAUGUGCCCAGAUGGGAUUAGCUAGUAGGUGGGGUAAUGGCUCACCUAGGCGACGAUCCCUAGAUGGUCUGAGAGGAUGAUCAGCCACACUGGAACUGAGAACCGGUCCAGACUCCUACGCGAGGCAGAAGUGGGGAAUCUUGCACAAGGGGCGAAAGACUGAUGCAGCCAUGCCGCGUGUGUGAAGAAGGCCUUAGGGUUGUAAAGCACUUUCAGCGUGGAGGCGUUACCCUCAGAAGAAGCACCGGCUAACUCUGUGCCAGCAGCCGCGGUAAUUC
rnacentral:rRNA from 1 species